CCUACGGGUGGCAGCAGUGAGGAAUAUUGGUCAAUGGGCGGAAGCCUGAACCAGCCAAGUAGCGUGCAGGAUGACGGCCCUACGGGUUGUAAACUGCUUUUAUAUGGGAAUAAAGCGCAUUACGUGUAGGGCUUUGCAUGUACCGUAUGAAUAAGGACCGGCUAAUUCCGUGCCAGCAGCCGCGGUAAUACGGAUGGUCCGGGCGUUAUCCUGAUUUAUUUGGUUUAAAGGGUGAGUAGGCCGGAUGUCAAGCGUGCUGUGAAAUGUGCGGGAUCAACCGUGGGACUGCAGUGCAAACUGGCUUGCUUGAGUCCGCGAGAAGUAGGCGGAAUUCGUGUUGUAGCGUUGAAAUGCUUAGAUAUCACGAAGAACCCCGAUUGCGAAGGCAGCUUGCUGCAGCGUAACUGACGCUGAUGCUCGAAAGCGCGGGUAUCGAACAGGAUUAGAUACCCCGGUAGUC
rnacentral:rRNA from 1 species